CUUACCCUAACCCAAACCAUAACCCUAACCCUAACCCUAACCAAAACCCUAACCCUAACCCUAACGCAAACCUAACCCUAACCCUAACCCUAAUCGUAACCCUAAUCCUAACUUAACCCCAACACUUACCCUAACCCUAACCCUAACCCUAACCCGAACCCUAACCCUAACACUAACCCUAACCGUAACCCUAACCCGAACCCUAAACCUAACCCUAACCCUAACCCCAAACCUAACCCUAAACCUAACCCUAACCCUAACCCUAAACCUAAACUAAACCAAAACCCUAACCCUAACCCUAACCCCAACCCUAACCCUAACCCUAACCCUAACCCUAACCCUAACCCUAACCCUAACCCUUAACUUACCGAAACUCUAAGCCUAACCAUAACCCUAACCCUAACGCAAAACCAAACCCUAACCCAAACCCAAUCCUAACCCUAACCCGAACCCUAACCCUAACCCUAACCAUAACCCUAACCCUAACCCUAACCCUAACCCUAAACCUAACCCUAAACCUCACCCUAACCGUAACCCUAACCCUAACCCUAACCUAACCCUAACCCUAACCCUAACGCUAACCCUUAUCUUACUGUAAUCCUAACCCUAACCCUAACUCUAACCCUAACGCUAAACCUAAUCCUAACCCUUCCCUAACCCUAACCCUAACCCUAACCCUAACCCUAACCCUAACCCUAACCCUAACCCUAACCCUAACCCUAACCCUAACCCUAACCCUAACCCUAACCCUAACCCUUAUCUUACUGUAAUCCUAACCCUAACGCUGACCCUAACCCUAACCCUAACGCUAACCCUAACCCUAAUCCGAUCACAAACCCUAACCCUAACCCUAACCCGAACCCGAAACCUAACCCGAACCCGAACCCGAACCCGAACCCUAACCCGAACCCUAACCCUAACCCUAAGCCUAACCCUAAUCCUAACCCUAACCCAAAACUAAUCCUAACCCUAACCCUAACCCUAACCCUAACACUAAACGUAACCCUAAACCUAACCCUAACCCUAACCCUAACCCUAACCCUAACACUAACCCUAAACCUAACCCUAACCCUGACCCUAACCCUAGCCCUAACACUAACCCCAACCCUAACCCUAACCCUAACCCUAAACCUAACCCUAACCCUAACCCUAACCCUAACCCUAACCCUAACCCUAACCCUAAACCUUACCCUAACCCAAACCCUAAAACUAUACCUUAACAUAACCCAAAACCUAACCCUAACCCUAACCGUAACCCUAAAC
ensembl:lncRNA